rnacentral:lncRNA from 1 species
UCUUAGGUUUGCUAUAGAUGUCGUUUAUUUGGGUUACAUCUUUCAUGUUUUGAUUAAGGGGUCUUCAUGUUUUAAUGUCUGAUUGGCUUACUAAAUUGGGAUUCCAACUCAACUAUAGUGUGUAAUUACUGGACUGUAGUCACGUGCAGUGAAGAUGGGUCACGUGUCAUUGGUUUCCGGCUUCCUGGAGUUGGGUUUCACGGCUAGCUUCUAGCAAACAUCAUUAGCAAACUCUUAGUCUUAGCUUUGCAGAACUUGAGCUUCAUAUCUAAUGCUAUAUUGAGAGUCUGGAGAGAGG